AUAAAUACAUUGAUUGAGAAAAGUAAAUUUUAUAUUACUUAUAAAGAGAGCUUAUCAUUUGCUGAAAGAUAGGAUUUGUAAAAGAAUUGAAAAUCACUCAUGAGUAGUUAGCUGAAGAUAUAAUUAUUGUGUAAGCAAGACCGGUAGCAACCGUUAUAUUGCCAAAUAUUAAAUAGGAUUUCCUAGAGAUAUUUUGAGGGGUUACUUUUCAAGUGAUAAAUAGAGUGGUACCGCAGAGUUUUUGACUUUGUCUCUAAU
rnacentral:ncRNA from 1 species